rnacentral:rRNA from 1 species
AUUGAACGCUGGCGGCAGGCUUAACACAUGCAAGUUGAGCGAGCAGAGGACGGGUGAGGAAUGUCUGGGACACUGCCAGAUGGAGGGGGAUAACUACGGAAAACGGUAGCUAAUACCGCAUACCAUCAGCUGUGCCCAGAUGGGAUUAGCUUGUAGGUGGGGUAACGGCUCACCGAGGCGACGAUCCCUAGCUGGUCUGAGAGGGUGACCGUCCAUACGGGACCUUAUAAACGGUCCAGACUCCGACGAGAGGCAGCAGUGGGGAAUAUUGCACGAUGGGCGCAAAGCUGAUUCAGCAAGGCCGCGUGUGUGAAGAAGGCCGUCGGGUUGUAAAGCACUUUCUGUGUGGAGGCGUUACUCGCAGAUGAAGCACCGGCUAACUCCGUGCCAGCAGCCGCGGUAAUUC